rnacentral:rRNA from 1 species
CAGUUCGGAUUGUAGUCUGCAACUCGACUACAUGAAGCUGGAAUCGCUAGUAAUCGCGAAUCAGCGUGUCGCGGUGAAUACGUUCCCGGGUCUUGUACACACCGCCCGUCACACCAUGGGAGUCGGAAAUGCCCGAAGUCAGUGACCCAACCGUAAGGAGGGAGCUGCCGAAGGUGGAGCCGGUAACUGGGGUGAAGUCGUAACAAGGUAAC